rnacentral:rRNA from 1 species
UACGAGGGGGGCAAGCGUUGUUCGGAAUUAUUGGGCGUAAAGGGUGCGUAGGCGGUUUGGUAAGUCUGAUGUGAAAUUCCCGGGCUUAACCUGGGGACUGCAUUUGAUACGUGUCGUCUUGAGUUCGGAAGAGGGUCGUGGAAUUCCCAGUGUAGAGGUGAAUUCGUAGAUAUUGGGAAGAACACCGGUGGCGAAGGCGGCGACCUGGUCCGAUACUGACGCUGAGGCGCGAAAGCGUGGGGAGCAAACAGG